GUACACUGUACACUGCAAAGUAAUCUCUUCGUGCAGAUUCCAAUUGUUUCGAUAGAAGUAAAAUAUUGUUAUUAUCCUAAAUCUCUUUAUGUAGGAAAUUUUAGAUAUCCCCAUGCAACCGAAAAUCGUAUUUUCCUUUUCACGAAAUAAUUGUGUUAAAAGAAGAUUUUUUGUUACUUAAAAUUCAUUUAAGACUCCCAUUCAAGCCAUUCAUGUGCAAUAUAUUUUUUACAAUGUCGGUUUCUGUUAGGAUAGAAAAUAUGUAAAAUGUAUGGUUUUGCCUUACUAUCGCUAUAAUUAAAAUUCUACGGUAUAUGCGAACAAAUUACAGCUAGUGUAUAAUUUAAAUUUCCAUAAUAAUUUAACGCGCAUAACGCCCUGAUAAUGUAUAAUUGUACCUGUAUAUAUAAAUCGUAAGUAGGUAAGUACAGAAUAAAGUAUACAAAAAUAUGUACGUUUCACAUGUUUGAUUAACAUGAUAUUGAUACUAUACAUUUUUCAGAAUAAAACGAUACCAUGUACUUAAAAAUUAAAAUUUCGAAUUGAUUAGUUUAUUAUUGGUAAAUAUGAAUAUAUCACCCUAUACAUUAUUCCUUCAAGAUAUGGAAAAUGUAUUAGUGCAAUAUGUAAACACGAAUUAAAAUCUCAAAAAAAUCUCAAAGAAGAAUAAUUGUUAUUAGGCCACAGAUUGUUACGCAGAGAUUCAUUGUAUUCGCUAAAUAUCAUAACCAAUACUAUAGUUUGCGUAUUUUAUAUACUUUUGCGUAUUAUAAGUAUACAUUUUAUGCAUUUUUGCAUCUUUAAUUUUGUUCAUAAAUGCGUAAAAGUCCACAAUCUACAUAAACGAAUUAUUAUAAAUCAUAACGUUAUGAAUACUUCAGUUGCGUCAAACUUUUGGAAACCAUGGGAUUUACGUGGAGAAAGAAACAGAGAAAAAAAGAACUAAAAUUCUUGAAAUUGCCUUUCGCAACCUAAAAAACGAAGUUCGGUGACGUAAAUUGCAUUCACGCAACGUUGGGAUAAUACUAGCUCUCUUAAUGGGUUAAUAGUAAGGAACAACGAACCAUUCUUUCUCGAACAUCAAAAAACGACGAUCGGCGUUCGAAGCUUUUAUUCUGAAGGGCCGAGAAAUUUUUUCCUUUGUGUUAUUAUCAUCGUUCUACCUUUAGCUACAGAUUAGUUACAUUUAAAUAAAUUACAGAGCACAGAAGUCUCCAUGCACGCUAUUACUCGCAAAUGACAUUCGUGCACGCGAAAGUUAGAAUCUAAUUGACGAAAAAUGGUCGUUCAUCUUCGAAGAAACGAAUUAGGAAAAAUUGAUCGCGUGUAAAGAAGAAACCGAAGAAUGUGAAAUCAAAGAAUGUCAUAAUAACGAGCUAGAUCUUAAAACGAGCAGCAAGUCGGACUUGUUUCUAGCACGAUGCUAGAACAAUGUUCGUAGAAACAAUCAUCUACGCUACAAACAACUAUACAACUUCUGUCGAAGAAUUGAAAUAGGUGAAACACCUUGUUAAUUAAUGUAGAGGAUUGGCGGGGAAUGAUACUGUUACGCUGGUGAGAUAAUGCAACGCGUGAUGAGUUAUUAGUUUUCGAUUCUAAAGUAGAAAGUGCAAAAGUGGAAAUUAUGGAUUAUUAACGCAGAUAAAUCAAUUAGUAGGAAAUUAAAAAUAAAGGAAACUGGAUGGAAAUAUGUACGUACUGAUAUAAUAAUCCUGGAAGGAUGCUGAUAGAGUUUAUUAGAUGGUUUGAAGAUACUACAAUUUUUAUUUCUACUGAUAAUUCAUCACGACUCUAUUAAAUGUAUAGCCAGCGUUAAUUCUACACGACUAAUGAAGAAAUUAAUGCGAGAAAACACGAGAAGAGAAUAUCUGCAGAUAAAAUGACUAAUUUCCAAUAAGGCCCUAGCUUAACAAGUCAUGAUGCAACGACAAACAUGUACGUAACUAUGAAGCAAUCGGGAGAAAGAUAAGACGAGUUCUUCAACUUAUUUCAAACAUUAUUCAAACCGGUGAGUCUCGUGUAAUCUGCAUAAAUCGUACUAUCAGUCAGUUCUUCAGCUUUCGCCAUCUUCUUCGCAUCUUCUUCGUCGAUCUACAUUGCGAAAUGGAACCGGUACAUAUACGUUACUCUGUAUGCGUACUAUCUAUACAUUAUGUAUGUGUGUACGCCUCUGUUCAGUGUGUUUGUUCAUCCUUCCUCUUCAAUCGCGUCCAAAGUAAUGCGACAAACGUAUUUACGAAACGCACUCGACACAUCUAUGCAAAUGAUUUUAACACUUUGUCGGCCUAACGAUUGUAUCUUUUAAAUUUAUCAAAAUUUUAAAAUAUAUUAAGAAAGCUUUAAUUGAGAUAUUGAACUACACAAUAUUUUCCUGAAUAUGAAUAAAAAUUUUGUUAACCACGUUUUAAAUUUUAACAUAUCAUCUGCAGGAUUGUUACAGACAAAAUGAUGUCAAUUUUCCUAAUCAUCUGCCCAGUUUUAAGCUACUGUAUACGACGUAUUGAUAAAUCCAAGUUUUGAAAAAAAGAAAGAUAUGAAAAGGAUACUUCCUAUGUUUCUCAAUAAGUUAUAGCACAGUGACUGGAUAAAAGAAGGAUGCAGACUCAGGUCUUGGCCGAUCAGAAUUUAAUCGAUCUGGCCUUUCCGUCUCUUAACCGCUUUUUAUAAUAUUUUUAAGUUUUUGUAUCCUGCCCCGGCUGAUCUAUAUGUACAUUACGCGUCAGAUUGAACUACUUUCUUAUUGCUAAAACUUUUUAAGAAAGAAAUUUUUUCCCUGCACACUCCUGACUUUUAUAAAUUACGGUAAAAUGACUAGACUGAAAUGAAAAUGAAUAUGGUAAUAUGCAAUAUCGAAUAGUUCCAGACUUCAACGAAUCUAAAGCGUAAUAUUUCACUAAUUAUGUUUUUAUCAGACAAGCUAUUUUGCAACUGUCUAUGAGAAACUGAAGAGAUAUUGGUGUUGCAUUUCGCGAAUCUGUUACAUCUACAUCUGUUACGUUUACGAACAUAAAUAGGAAACUGUAAUAUCGUAGUCGAAACGAAAUUUUAAUACACGAUAAAAACGACGGGACAUACCGAUUCAUGUUCUGAUUAAAGCUUUUCUCGUUAACAUGAAACUUCAAUUAGUAUUCUACAUGAAACAAACAUGAAAUAUUCCGAAAUAUUAUUUGCGAAAAUUCUAAUGUAAAUUUUCUUAAUGGAAUCACACGUUUUAUUAUAUAUUUCAAGAUCAUUUCACCGAUGUGUAUAAUUUGAGCAAAAAUUUGUCGAAUACUUUUAAAUGGCUUGCAAAUAUCAACGAAUCCUGUAUAAGUAACAAUUCGAAGGAAAAGAUCUAAAUAUUUUAUUAAGCUUCUUUUAUAUAAAAUAUUUCUUCGCAUUUUUAUUAAUUAGCGAAAUGAUACUGUGUAUAUAAUUAAACUGGAUAUACUGUCUAUAACACAACAGGAGGACAAGGAUAGAAGUAGAAAGUUCACGCAUCCUGAGUAACGCCAUGAAUCGUAUCAGCAUUUAUUUAACGCGUUAUAGUAUAACAAUUAAAUACGUCGAAUACACUGGGUUCACGAAUAACGAUACGUGCAUGCUUCGGCGAUUUUGUUGUUUAUCGAAAAUUGCGCUCACGAUGUCCCGCCUCGCGUACUUGUAGUUCGACCAUACUUCGUUUGUCCCUUUUCUCGAUCUAUCGAAAGCAAAUCGUAAAAGUUUGAAUUUCACGAUACACGCGCAACGCCCGUUUCAUUUAUAGAUCGUUAGAUAAAUAACUACAAUGGUCAGAUUGAUCGAUAUAAGUAAAUAAAUCUCGAUAAACUGGAUACAAUACGGUCUCUGGCUAUCGUCUCUCUUCCUCUCUUUCUUCUUCUAGUGUGUUGUUUCAUUCCUCUGCCACGCUACUCCUGGUGGCUAUCGUUCCAGACACUUUUACACGAUACCUUGCAAGCUGUAAAAACAAAAGUGUCACCGGCCACGAUGUUAUAAAAUUCUCGUUAUGUUCAUCCACUCGUACACGCUGUCGUUUACAUCCACGUAAACACUGUGAAGGGAAGAGGGAGAAAGGAUGAACGAGGAAAAAUGUGGAUGACAUUAUGCUUUGAAAUUGGCACUCGGUCGUCAUAUUACGCCCCGUUAUAAUCUCCGCUUCCGGAAUGAUUUAAUACAUAGUAUAAGACCAUGAUAGUAAGCCACGUUAUUUGCUUUUUAUUUUUCCUUCGUUGGCUUCUUGUAUGUUUUUCACAGUAGAACCGUGAAUAAAGCCAUUUUCACUGCUCUUGCAGUUUUCUUCUUUUAGUAUUUCCCGCUCUCCUUAGUGAAUACUUAAUUAUCGAACUGUGAAUUUGUAUGGAAAUUCAUGCUUUUGAGAAUGUUGAGUUAAGUAAUUAGGACCUCGAUGGAAAAUUGUUUCACCUAUCAAAUAUUAUAGAAAGCAGUAUAUUUUGAAUAUUUCAUGUAUUCUUUCAUAUUAUGUGCAUUCUGUGCAAUUUUGCAUUUACAAUUAUAUUAAAUUAUUAUCACUUUGUAACUGUAUUGAAGGUAUACAUUGUCGCCAACCCUUCCGCUACGGAAAUAAUUAUAUAUCCACUCGAUACAAAAUCUUCGUAUGUACAUGCGAUAAGACUCUAAUUAAUAGGUUGUCGAUACUAAAAUCGAUCGAGUAACAUUAAAAAUAUAAAUAUUUACAAAGAUAAAUAACAUUUCAGUAAUAAUGUGCUGCUUGAACCAUACUAGAUUCGUAUUCGCAGAAUAUGAUUAUUCUAAACGCAAUACAAAUAAAGAUCACAGGAGAAAAUUUUAUGAGUCAACCUCUAUUGAUUUGUCUGACAUUAAUGCCAUUUUAUAUUCAAAUGGAAAUACUUUAAUGCGACGUAAUUAUAAUUGAAAAGAAAAAAUCACAUCUAAUACAAAGAAAACUAUCUUCUAAAAAUAUUCGAUACACCUAUAGUGACCAAAAAACUAAAUUUAGCAUAAAAAUUAAACAAAAUUUUUUGGUAACAUAGAAUUAGUUGAACAAGUAUUAAAUAUGAAAGUCACUCUCUUUUAAAAUAAAAAAAAAGAUGCGAUUUAUGUCGAUCUUCUUUUGUAUUCUUCAAACGUAUAUUUUCGUCAAUUUAGUAACAUUCGUUUGAUACAAUUGCGCUACUAGGAACAUUAAUGUGUGUGGUCGAAAUCUUCGAGCCGAAUUUCUUUGAAUUAUCAAAUUUAUUUGCCCUUUAAUUUCAAGUUAAAAGCGAACGAUCCCUUGUUAAUUUAUUAUACAUAGUUAAAACAUAGUACAAUAAAAAUAAGUAUGAUUAAGAUUAAAAAGAAAAAAAGGAUAUGGUGGCAAUAGACACGCCACGAGGUCAACGUACUUACAUACGUACAAAAACGUACCUGUAUCACUUUGUGCAAAUUAUCAGCACUUUUCGGGAAAAAUAGAAAUCUGUUUAAUAACUCUCAUAAUUGAAGUGACAUAGAGCGUAUCUAGAUUUGAUUGAACCUUACAAAAAUAAUGUAUGUCUGAGAUAUACGCGUAUUUCGAGGGGAAAAUGUACGCUAUCAUUGCACAUUUCAUCACAUUUCACAAGAGAAAAUAGUAUAAGCAGGCGCACUGCAUGCUCCUUUAUGACGACUAUUAAAUGGAGCCUUUGAAAUUUGUUCUAUAAACAGUACUCAGUCAAUUAGGAAUUAAAUACGAUACGGAACGUCCGGGAACUUGUCUAGUAUUUGUUUCAAGAAAUAAUAUUUCCGCAAAAAAUGAUUGUUACCACCUCUGAAUAACCGCGAUUGUUUUUAAAAUCGCGCAUCAAAUGUAAGUACAUUCUAGAGGAUUUCAUUACACCGAAAGAUUUGAAAUUUUAUUAGAGUUUAAACGAUUUAUGACAAAAUUAAGCUAAACUGUUUUCUUAUACAUAUAGAGAAAGUUGUUCAUGAUAACGUGAAAGAUAAUCGAACACUUUAUAACAAAUAAAUAUGUUGAUCUUAUGAUGAUGAUUGCAAGGAAAGAUAGGUUGACUUGCUCCUCGAUAAAGAAAUCUUAGAAAUUCGUUUUUCUAGUCUUGGAUCAAGAUUACGAAAAUCUAGUAGCUGAUAUAUUCACUCACUCACUAUCUUGACAGCGUAAAAUCAUUAAGAAUAUAUGUAAAUGAUUUUUUGAAGGAGAGUAACACGUCGAUUUAUUUGCGACUUUAGAUAUCGAUUCAGACUUUGAAAAUUCAUCAAUCGUCAAAAUUUUGGACAAUGAUAACAAUUAUAUGAAUUGUACAUGCAAUCAAGAGAUAAUCGAUAUUGGCAAAUUCUAAUCGUUUUAACCAUAGCCUAAUAUAAUGAAUUUACUAGAAGUAACAUUGCUUUUAAGAAAAAUCAAGCUGACUUAUAUUUAUACUGUAAGAAUUAAAUUAUAAUAAAAUAUGAAGAUCGAGCUAUUUUAAUGAAAGAAUAACUAAAAAUCGUCGAUGAAACGAAUUACAGAAAUAUGGUAAACACAGAAACAAAAAGAUAUGUAUUAAGGGAUCUUGGUCACUUUAAUUAAAUAGCCUAUUUACAAAAAACUGAAACAAUCCACCUUACUUGACAAAAGAAAAAUUAAAGGAAAGCACGCUUUACAUAUUAAAACGAAACUCAAGUCAAUGUUCGCUGAGUUUUCUCUUAUCCUGUAUAACGAGGUCAAGUUUAUUCCUUAAUAAACUAAAUAUUUCCGAAGAGAAAAUUUUUUACACUCUCAUUAUAUAUUAUAUAUAAUGUAUUUCUUAUAGUAAUAUAGUAUUAAAUAGUAUUCUAUAUAGUAUUAAAUAAUAUUCCUUUGUAACGUAUAUUUUUUCCAUUAGAUCAUCGUAUCUUCACAUUGAGUCUGCAGCUCCCGCCUUUCCCUCACGCUAUAAUAUACGUAACACUAUCUGGACGCUUCUCCGUGCAUACCAUAGUAAUUUUUGCUCAUCGAUAACACGUAAAAUUUUAUUACCGAAGGCGUGAACGUAAAGCAUAUUUCUGUUUAAGGGAGCGCACUCCAGCGAAUUUCUUUCUCUCUUCAAUAUCUUUCAAUUUUCUUUCAACAUCUGGAACCGCGCCGAUGUCAAAAGUUUUCCAUUGAAGUUGAGGGUUUUAGGCAACGAGCUAUCUGAAGCACGAAAUUACUGGGCAUUAAUUCGUUUCCCUCCGUGUUCCGAUCGUUUAUGCUAAACAUUACUGGGCUCGGAUGUGCACGAAACAUCUGACAUAUCAUUAGAGAAAAGAAGCAUUAAGACGACAAAACAGCAGGGUGUAUGAAUCGCAAGGUGUAUCGUGUCGUACCUGCGACUCCACCUUUAUUCAGAAACCAAUACGAAUGCCUCGAGGUGGUAUUUUCAAUGAUACAUGCCAAAUCAAAUUGACACUUAGAACGUUCCAUAGCUCAUCGCAUAACUUUCCAUAUGACAGUAACUACUCGAACAGAAUGGAUUUGGAAACGUGUGUUAUACAUGCAUAUUUUCUUGAUUGAACUUCAGAAUGAAUAUAUUACAACGCCAACCUGCAUCUUGCGUUGUAUCUGUAAUUUCUAUUUACAAACAUUUUUUACAAUAGAAUUAAUUUAUGUCGACGACUGGGGAAACCAUACUAAUUAAUUAUUUUAUUCAUAAAUUAUGAGAAUGAUAUUUUCAAUAGUUUCAUUAACGCAGAAACAAUGUCACGAAAAAUCGUAACAAGUAAAUAUAAAUAAUCACAAUUCUUAAAUAAUAAAGAAAUGCCUAAGAAUUUUGAAAGUUUUGAAAUUAUAUUGUGAAUUAAUUUUUUUUAUAGAAGAUUAAUACUAAUAUCAUAUAUGUAAAAUUGUUCCUUAUCGAUUUUUCCUUUAUAACAAAAUUAUUUUUAUUCCGAUAACAUAUACUACUUAUUUUAGGUAGAUAUUACACUUGUAUGGUUCUAAAUUAAUAUGGGAAAGCUUCUAACGAGCAAUAAAUUUUCGACUAAUAACGCAACGUUUCAGUCACGAAAUCAAAUUUACGAACCUCGAGUGCACAAUUGAAAAGUUCCUGCAUAGAACUGUAUUUUUCGCAUAAACUUUCUAAAAAUUUACAUAAAUGUAUACCAGAUGUAAAAACUUAAGCUUCAUAUUGAAAAUCCUUUUCACAGCAAGUGCACAUUGAAUAAAAAACAGGAAAUAUUACCUAUACGAAAAACUUAAAAAAUUCAAUGUAAAAAUAAUUUUCUAGCAUACAAACUGAACCACCUCUGUAACAUUCGUAACGAUAUAAACAUUUUCACGCUUUAUCUAUAAAAUUCAAUGCUGUCACAAUAAUUUACAGAUUAAUAGAAUGUGUGGAUUAGAUAAUUAUUUCAAGGAUUUCAAAUCGGAUGAGAUUUAUUGUAGUCUCUAAAUUCAAUCUUCUAAACAGUCCUCUUUCUUAGUGGACUAUCCUGUAAAACAGAACCCGUCGUUCGUUAAAUUUAAAUCAUUCAGAAGUCUCGCAAAAGCCGAAUGAACACAAACAAAUAAUAAAGAAUGCUUACAAACCGAUCACAAAAUUCUCUGAAUACAUUUUGCACCUCAGCGACUUUCAUGUAUUGAUUUCUUUCUUUGAAAAAAAAAAAAACAAACAGAAAAGGAAAGAAAGAAAAAAUUGCGAAAUUAAGAUAUUUCCUCCGAUA